CAGCCGCCACGGUAAUACGAAGGGGGCUAGCGUUGUUCGGAAUUACUGGGCGUAAAGCGCACGCAGGCGGCUCGAUAAAUUAGAAGUGAAAGCCUUGGGCUUAACCUGAGAAUUGCUUUUAAGACUGUCGAGCUAGAAUCCAGGAGAGGGUAGUGGAAUUCCGAGUGUAGAGGUGAAAUUCGUAGAUAUUCGGAAGAACACCAGUGGCGAAGGCGACUACCUGGUCUGGCAUUGACGCUCAUGUGCGAAAGCGUGGGGAGCAAACAGGAUUAGAUACCCCCGUAGUCCCUGUCUCUUAUAC
rnacentral:rRNA from 1 species